CCUACGGGAGGCAGCAGUGGGGGAUAUUGCACAAUGGGGGGAACCCUGAUGCAGCGACGCCGCGUGGGUGAAGGAGUGCUUCGGCAUGUAAAGCCCUAUCGGCAGGGACGAAGCAAGACGGUACCUGACUAAGAAGCCCCGGCUAACUACGUGCCAGCAGCCGCGGUAAUACGUAGGGGGCGAGCGUUAUCCGGAUUCACUGGGUGUAAAGGGAGCGUAGACGGCCAAGCAAGCCAGGGGUGAAAGCCCGGGGCGCAACCCCGGGACUGCCUUUGGAACUGGAUGGCUUGAGUGCGGUAGGGGCAGGCGGAAUUCCUGGGGUAGCGGUGAAAUGCGUAGAUAUCAGGAGGAACACCGGCAGCGAAGGCGGCCUGCUGGACCGCGACUGACAUUGAGGCUCGAAAGCGUGGGGAGCGAACAGGAUUAGAUACCCUGGUAGUC
rnacentral:rRNA from 1 species